UUCACCUGAAACACGAGACGAUGCAGAUUUAGAAGUGGAAGGAGAAAAGUCAAAGCUUUAAGACUGGCAAAAUCAAGCGAUGCACAGAACCUUGAAACGAUUCAUCCAUAUCCAAGCUACCCAUAUCAGAGUUCUUUGCGUCCUCGAAGACGAGACUAAGUGGGAGAAUAUUACAAAUCUGGGCACUUCCGUGGGUGGCAAUUGUAUGAGGUUUUACCAAGCUAAAAGAGUUUGAAACCUGGUUCCCUCAACUCAUUCCAUACUAAGAAUGUGAAGAGAGCGCGAAAGAGCUCGGAAAGGAAGUGAGAAAAAAGUAGCUUUAGUUGGUAAUGGUAUGACUACUAUUGAAUGAAAUGAAUGUAUAAACAUGUUUAUAGAGUUGAGUUGUCAAUUACGAUGUAUAAGUGAUUGUAUGUUGAAUUAUGAUAUAAAUCUUGCUUGUAUAUACGUAUAUCAUGUUGCAUUGUGCUGAGGGUGCCUUAGUAGAGGGUAUGU